GGACUUAGCUUCUAGUUGCAACUAUGCCACUUUCAAGUCAGAUUGGAAAGGAAUAUGGUUCCAGUUUGAGGCUUACUUCUUCAUUACAAUCAUUAGGGAACACCAUUAGCUUAAUUGUACAUGCAAACAUGGGUUUUUUUUUUCUUCUUAAAUCUUAUUUUCAUAAAUGUUGUGAACUGAUUUCAUGAAUCCCUUUAUAUGCAUCCCCAGUAAUCACACCACGAGAAGAGAACCUUGAUCCCUUCCUGAUAAACAGUGUGCGCAUCUUUUCAAGCCAUGCCUUUUCAAACCAGUAAUUUGUUACUCCAUUGGAUUUGGUAAGAUUGGUGUAUGUCAUUGGUGGAUUUGUUACUCCUCAAGGUGGGCCUUGCCUAGUGAAUGGCUUGGAUCCCACAAAUGUAUGUCAUUUUGGCAUGUGUACCAACAGUCCAUGUUGAUGUUAAGAUUCAAUUUUAUUGUUAUUUGAUCUCAAUGUAAUGUUCUUAUCAUGCCUCCAUGUAAUGAAUUUUAUGUCAAUACUAGGAAAUUAACAAUUUUAUUCAAUUUGUGUUUAAGAACUAGCAGAUUUAUAUAGCAUGUGCUAUAACUUUUCUUGAUCAAGUCAUUUAGAAUACCCAAUACUGCAUUCAAACCCAUUGUUUAGUUCUUUUCCAUAGCUCACUCGUGUCUUUUAGCAAUGCUGUUGCAAUUCCAUUAAAAGCAUUUGUUGAUUACUGCAACCUAAUUAUUCUCACUACAAAUAUAUGGAUUCCUUUCUCCGUGCCUCGUAGGGCAGCAAAAAAGCUAUUCCCACCAUUGGUGAGAGACUUUUAAAUUGAAAGGAAUCCCAAAAGACUUGGUUUGGGAAUGUAUGAAUCUUCAUGGCUUUGUAUGCACUAUAAACUUCUUAUUUAUCUAUUUCAGGAUUACUCAAUGCAACCUCCAACUCAAGAGCUUGUUGUUCGAGACUUGCAUGAUAACUCGUGGACGUUUCAUUGGAUUUAUUGCACCGUCUCUUUGAUGCUACAUUGCUAUGGUUGAGUUCAACUAGCAUCAGAUUACUGCAUUAUCAUUGGUCAUUGCCAAGCUGACCUAUUUUUAAAGCCAUGCCCCAGGCAAUUUUUUCAUGUGUUUCAAUUUUCAUUUGCUUCAAUGUUUCUAGUACUUUUUAUACUGUUUCUCUUAAAAAAAUUUACUACUUUUUUUUUUCUUUUGAAAUACAACUAGGAGCAAUUUUUGGGCUCUAAGCAGAAUCCUCUCCCUAAAGUUAGAGCCAAACUUAAUGGAAGAGGAAGAAGAGGAUGAAGUGAGAGCCACCCUAAGACACCAUGUGUAACCCACAUUUAUUUACAUCUAAUAUACCCCAUCCCCAAUUAACUAAAAAUAGGCGGUCUCUUGCCUCUCUAGGCAACUCCUCUAUUUUUAGUUGUGUCAGGAAUGUUGAGGCCCUUUCUCUUUCUAAUCUUGGGACUAAACAAGAAGAUCAGUACACCACCAUGUUCAGCGAUGAGAACCCAAAUGCAUGUUCUAUCAUGUAGAUGGGUUUCUAUAUAUGGAGGGGUCAUGGUUUUUUUUUUUUUUCACAUCCUUUUGCCCCAUGUAUGUAUAUCAAGUUUCCAUGCACACCAGUGUUUCUGGUUUAUGUAAUUUAAGUUUACUUCCCCAUGUAUGUAUAUCAAGUUUCCAUGCACACCAGUGUUUCUGGUUUAUGUAAUUUAAGUUUACUUCCCCAUGUAUGUUUUUCUCUUUGAGUUGAUUAAAUGCAUUAUUGGCUUUCUACGGUUCAGUAAGAAGCAUGUGUUCAGAGGAUGAUGAUAUUGAUGAAGUCAGUUCUGAGCAUGAAAGGACUGUUACAAAUGAACGAGCAAUGGAAUAGGCUAAGGUUUGGGUACGUUUAGAAAGAAGAGGUGACAAAGGAGUAACCCUUGGGGAGAUGUGGCUAGAUGUGGAUCCCCUGUUUUGGGUUCUGCAAUGGUUAUUCCCCAUGAUUCGCGUAAUCCUACUAAUCCUCAGAAAUUUGAGCUUGCAGUAUAUCCUGAUCCCCAGAUCAAUUUAGUAAUUAAAUUCUACAUAGCUGAUCACAAUCUUAGAACCAACAAAGAGAAAAUCAAGCAUGGCUUUAGUUCAAACUAAGAACUGAAAGUGGGGUGGAUUUAUUUGCACCAAUUUUCAAGUGAAAGAUAUAUCAGCUCGUUGCAGCCUGCUCUGGUCUAGUCUAGAAUGCAAAUAAUAGCUCUUUCUGUACCUUUAAGAAGUGCCACAUUCUAUGCUAGUUCUCUUUAAAUUUAAAUUUACACAGUAAUUAAUAGUCAUUCAGGUCAGCUCCAUCAUUUCUCUAAUUUAUUGAGGGCUCUUGAUGA